rnacentral:rRNA from 1 species
UACGUAGGGGGCAAGCGUUGUCCGGAUUUAUUGGGCGUAAAGAGCGUGUAGGCGGCCAAGUAAGUCUGCUGUGAAAACUCGAGGCUCAACCUCGAGAUGUCGGCGGAAACCACUUGGCUAGAGUCCGGAAGAGGAGAGUGGAAUUCCUGGUGUAGCGGUGAAAUGCGCAGAUAUCAGGAAGAACACCUAUGGCGAAGGCAGCUCUCUGGGACGGUACUGACGCUGAGACGCGAAAGCGUGGGGAGCGAACAGG